UACGUAGGGUGCGAGCGUUGUCCGGAAUUACUGGGCGUAAAGAGCUCGUAGGUGGUUUGUCGCGUUGUCCGUGAAAACUCACAGCUCAACUGUGGGCGUGCGGGCGAUACGGGCAGACUUGAGGCAUGCAGGGGAGAACGGAAUUCCUGGUGUAGCGGUGAAAUGCGCAGAUAUCAGGAGGAACACCGGUGGCGAAGGCGGUUCUCUGGGCAUGUUCUGACGCUGAGGAGCGAAAGUGUGGGGAGCGAACAGG
rnacentral:rRNA from 1 species